AGUGGGAUAGCUGGGAAAAUGGUGGUUCCAUUCCCAGUUUUCUGAGGAAUUUCCAUACUGCUUUCCAUAGUGGUUGCACCAAUUUGCAGUCCCACCAGCAAU
rnacentral:pre_miRNA from 1 species